UGUGCAGUGACUGAUGGUAACAAAGCAGCAGACCUUCAGACUUCAGCCCUCAGGUGAGAAACCAGGUGAGGACACAAAACCAACAACAACAACAACAAUAAAACCAACAACAACUGAUAAUACUUCAACAGAACUAAAAGCUGCUACAGUAUCACCAUAUUGCACCAUGGACAUCAAGAGUCAAACUCUGGUGGACGAGGAGUUUGACUCUUCACCUGUCUGUUCAUGUGUGCUGUCAAACAUCACCAUGACUCCUGUCUGUUUUCUGUUGAAGAGUACAGCGCCACAUGUGAAAGAGUUAUUUUGGAUCAAUUCUCACACAUGUGGCUGUAAUCCUCUUCCGCUUUCUGAUAAACACUAAAGACAGGUGCAUUAUUGCAAACAUUUAUCUCAACUAUCUUCACACGUUCAACUU
rnacentral:lncRNA from 15 species